rnacentral:hammerhead_ribozyme from 1 species
AUCCACCUGAUGAGUCCCAAAUAGGACGAAACGCGUGUCCUGGAU